rnacentral:tRNA from 1 species
CAACUAACCUCCCUAAGACU